GGCUACACACGUGCUACAAUGGGUAGUACAGAGAGUCGCAAAGCCGCGAGGUGGAGCUAAUCUCAGAAAACUAUUCUUAGUUCGGAUUGUACUCUGCAACUCGAGUACAUGAAGUUGGAAUCGCUAGUAAUCGCGAAUCAGCAAUGUCGCGGUGAAUACGUUCUCGGGUCUUGUACACACCGCCCGUCACACCACGAGAGUUGGUUGCACCUGAAGUAGCAGGCCUAACCGCAAGGAGGGAUGCUCCGAGGGUGUGAUUAGCGAUUGGGGUGAAGUCGUAACAAGGUAUCCGUAUGGGAACGU
rnacentral:rRNA from 1 species